UAGUAACGGCGAGUGAAGCGGGAAGAGCUCAAGCUUAAAAUCUCUGCGCAAGUUUUGCGCGGCGAAUUGUAGUCUAUAGACGCGGCAUCAGUGCGGCCGUUCGGGGUAAGUUCCUUGGAAGAGGACAGCAAUGAGGGUGAUACUCCCGUUUGUACCCGAGUGUGUUGCACGUACGAUGCGUGUUCUUUGAGUCGCGUUGUUUGGGAAUGCAGCGCAAAGUAGGUGGUAAAUUCCAUCUAAAGCUAAAUAUUGGUGCGAGACCGAUAGCGAACAAGUACCGUGAGGGAAAGAUGAAAAGAACUUUGAAAAGAGAGUUAAAGAGUACCUGAAACUGCUGAAAGGGAACCGGGUCGUUGCCAGUGUCUAUAAUCCGCUGCAUAUUUCAUUGCUGUGCGAGUCCGUGUCGCGCGUUGGUAGUAGUUUGUUCUGCACCGCGCGUGUCUGUGGGUUUGCUCGGCGGUGCCCUGUGCGGUGGUGGGACGUCAGAGUCAGUUCGUGUUGCUGCGGGAAAUGGCUGUCGAGGAGGUAGGUCAGGAGCCUUGCUUUUGGCUGUUAUAUCUUGGCGUGCUAGUUGUCGUGGUUGGGACUGAGGUGCCUUACAACGUGCUUUUGGAGUGUGUGUGCGUCUCUGUGUGCGUCCGGAUUGGAUAGCUUGCUAUGCAGCUUUGCUCCACGUGUGCGGAUGCGAUGUGCGCUGCUCCACCUUGCGAGCCGUUC
rnacentral:rRNA from 1 species